rnacentral:rRNA from 1 species
UGGGGAAUAUUGCACAAUGGGCGAAAGCCUGAUGCAGCAACGCCGCGUGAGUGAUGAAGGCCUUCGGGUUGUAAAGCUCUAUCUUUUGGGACGAUAAUGACGGUACCAAAGGAGGAAGCCACGGCUAACUACGUGCCAGCAGCCGCGGUAAUACGUAGGUGGCAAGCGUUGUCCGGAUUUACUGGGCGUAAAGGAUGCGUAGGCGGAUUUUUAAGUGAGAUGUGAAAUACCCGGGCUUAACUUGGGUGCUGCAUUUCAAACUGGGAAUCUAGGUGCGGGAGAGGAGAAUGGAAUUCCUAGUGUAGCGGUGAAAUGCGUAGAGAUUAGGAAGAACACCAGUGGCGAAGGCGAUUCUCUGGACCGUAACUGACGCUGAGGCAUGAAAGCGUGGGUAGCAAACAGGAUUAGAUACCCUGGUAGUCCACGCCGUAAACGAUGAGUACUAGGUGUAGGAGGUAUCGACCCCUUCUGUGCCGCAGUUAACACAAUAAGUACUCCGCCUGGGAAGUACGAUCGCAAGAUUAAAAACUUAAAUGAAUUGACGGGGGUCAUAGCUGUUUUCCU